GGGGCGCGAGGGGCAGCGAGCGGGAGCCGGGCAUGGCCGCGCGGGGACACACAGCGCGAAGGGAAGGCCAGGGCUCGGGGGCAGAGCGCAGGUCAGGACGCCGGCCACGUGCCGAAGCCUCGGGAAGGCGCGGUGAGGAACCGGAAAUGCCCGGGGGCCGAAGCGGAGCUGACCGGAAGCGGCGCAGCCCCGCCGAGCCCGCACAUCCGGGGCCUUCACGCCGCGCAUGCGUGAGCGGCCGGGCCCACUCCCACAGGGUCUCCAUCGAGGGCGCGCGUCCACACCGCCGGCUGCGGGGCUCUGGGGAGCAGGGGCCUGUGUUGAGGGGGUGUCCUGCAGGGCGCCAUCAGCCCAGUGCCCUCUACCGUGUGGCCGGAGGCUGUUCCGGGCCUGCCGUGGGGAAAGCCGCCGGCAGCUUCCUGGAGAGUUUGUUUUGGGAUGUUUGGAAAUACACCUCGCGGGGUGGCUGCGUGACGCUAAGUAGCGCGCUCACACUGCGGGCCCGCUUCUCUGGCGAGGACGCUGGAGGUCCGCUCUCCGGGUGUGGUCAGCUGCGCCUCGGUGCCCUGCAGCGGACCCAACAGGAACGUUCGGUGCAUUAGCAGGGUGCCGAAUUGGAAGCCGAGCAGCUGGGACUGGAACAGGCAGCUGUAUGGAAUGCCAGCAUUGCAGGAUCAUGCCAGUUAAUGCUGGGGAAAACAUAACAGAAAAUGUUUUCACAAGUCACUGAGUGCACAUUUCUGACGUUGAGGAAAGCUCAGUCUCUCACUGCUCGGCCAGCCCCAGGGUACAGGGUGUUGAGGAGGAGAGGGUGAAGAGAGCCAACUGUCUAGCCUGAAAUCAUCGCUUGUUUAUCACAAGGAACGAUGGAGGCUGCGGCUGCCCGGUGCGUUCUGGGCAUUUUCACUGAACGGGGUCAACGGCAGCGCCUCGUUUUGUCCUCCUCCUUGUCCCACCUGACGUGCACACGAGAGCAUCGCUUUCUUCCCUGCACACAGUGAGCGCCUGCUCAGCGGGGCUCUGCAGCCACACUGUGAGUGAGACCUGUCCUGGCGUCUGCUUCCCCAGGCCCUCCCUCGCCCCGGGCAGUGGUGAGGUCAGUCGUGGUCAGGUCUGCUUCUCCAGCCCUUCCUGUCAAGGCCCAGACUCACGUUUCCGUUGUCUUCAGUCUGCGCUCUGCGAUCUCAUCAGAUCAGAUGUUUGUAACGCUUACCUCUUCCUCCUCACUCCAGAACCGUGGCUUCUCUGAGAGCCCCUCAGAUGAGACAUAGCAACGUUCUUCCCUGGCUCCCAGCAUCGAAAUCCUGCUGUAACCCUGCCAGCUCUCCAGCCCUGCCGCAUUCCGCUGGGCGCUGCUUCUGUACCCAGCACACAGCACAAGGCCCCACACGUGGCAAGUGCUGCAAGAACAGUUUGCCGAGAACAACUGGACACUGGAAACAGCAUUUCAGAGCAAGAUAAAGGGCUGCAUUCGACCUUGGAAACUAGGAUGGCAAUCUUGGUCCUGCCCUUGGAGAACCAGGCUGAAGAUGAAGACAACAUCUGCAGGAAUAUACGUGGCAGACCCUCGAGCUGCAGAGAAUCCUGACCCUGGUGAAACCCAGCGACCUAAAGCAGUCCCAUCACUGGACUUUCCGAUAGAUCAUGCAUUCUUUGAGGAAGCAAGUGCCUUCUUCUCAUUUGUAUGCCCAAGGAUAAAGACAAUGACUACUGAAUUACAAGAAGGGUGGAUGGCUGCCAAGUAACAGUAGAUGACGAGAAUGUGCAAAUCAGGGGGAAUCACCUUUUGGGAAGGCUGGACUUGGCACAAAUCUGGGUGUAACUGCACUUUUAAAUGAGCAAAGUAAACCCCCUGAAAAUACGUUGCUGGAGACUGUUGUGACAGAAGUAUGAAGCACUAGAAAAUUAGUUUCAUAUACUUUUCUUUUGAAGCGAGCUCCUCAUAUAAAAAAAAAAUCUUACAAUAUUUUGUUAACAUCAUUUAGGAGGAAGAAAAUAAACAAUGUGUUUGUAGUCCCUUAAAGUUACGCUUAUGCUAAUAGUUGGAUUCCAGAUGUGAGCUGAGAAGUGAGGCACACAAACCCAACAGCAUUUUCCCAUGUUACAUGAAGCCUGUGCACUUCCUUCUGAAUUGAGUCCGUUGAGUCCAGAGUGUGCCUUCAGUGGGAGUCAGCUGUGUGUCCUGGGUCGCAUGCUACCAGUAGGCUGUCCUGGACCUGUUCUGCCCUGUCACUGCUGUAUCCAAGGCCAGGGGGCUUAUGACCACCGUCAGUUGAUGGCUGCUGGUAAGAGGGUAGGAAGAAGAGGACAGCUGAGGUCUCGGGCGUGGCUGCUAGUGUGACGCCAGCUCCCACACAGUGUUUGACCCAAGUGACCUCACUCGGUCCCUGGCCUGAUAUGGGAUGGUGUGCCCAGCCUCGUCAUGAGGGUAGUGACUUCCUGCUGUCACCCAUUCCUGUCUACACUCUCCCGUUGGUUUCUCACCAACUUACCACUCUCUUGAAUUACAUCUCUUCUGUAGUUGUACAUAUGUGGAGUGGUUUCUGUCUGACUGGCUGCACCCUGACUGACACAGCAGCAGUGAUUCCUGAAGGGAAAGGAGGGAGAAUGAGACUGGAAGUAAGCACUGGCAAGUGUGCUCCUGGUGUGGAGUUCUCCGACACUUCAGUUUCACUGCGCCCAGGCCGUUACACAGCUGACAUUCCUGCCUGCUUCAGGAUUGAAGUCCACUUGGGGUUCCCGUGAUAAAAUCUAUGUUGAUGCAACCAGAAAUUGAUAGGACAUGAUACUUGUACGUCACUGUUGAUCCAGGAUGUCACAUACUCACCUCACGUUACAUCUGUUUGUAGAGGUUCAGAGAGGUCAGCCGGCUUCCCAACUCACACAGCAAGUAAACAACACUGUAAAGUACAUCAAACGAAGGGUGUUUGUUGUUGAUUAGAAAUUGAAUUGUCAGUUGGUUGUGUGACUAAACAGCUGUUGGACUGGUCCAAGAAGGGUCUGCCAUGAUGAAUGAUCGCAGAGAUACUUUUGGUUAGAUAAGUUUUGUGCUUCUUCCAAGACCUAAGAAAUAAAAAAGUAUUUACAUAAAGGUGGAACUUCCCAGUUCUUGUUUUUGGUCAAAUUGGAACUUUGGCAAAGUACCUGUAAUGAUUUCUGCAUUUUUCUUACCAGGACCUGUGAUCUUACUGACUACAAUUUAUGUGGUAUUGAUUGGAUGUAAGGCACUCUUCAAGCAUUUCCAUAAAUUAACUCACUUAAAUCCUGGAAAGAACCCUCUUCCCCAGGUUCUGCCAUUUUCUCAUGUUAAAGAUGGGAAAUGACCUCAAGAGACUAUGCAACUUGUCCAAGGUCAUCCAAGAGAUGACCUUGUCCAAGGUCAGGCAAGGAGGCACAACUUUGCUAUUUUGAGUCGUGAUGAAAAUGUCUCAGUGAUUCGUGUACUGGAAGGAAAAGUCCCAGAAAUGUUUCAGGAAGAGCAAGUGGGAAAGUCCGGUGCUGACUGCUUUGUGUCUCACCUUCUGCUCAUCUACCGUCACAGCCUCCAGCAGGGCAAAGACAGUCAUUUGAAUUCCAGGCAUGAACACGAAGGUUCCAGAGAUUCAUCCUCUUGCCCACAGUCACACAGCUACCACCGAGUGAGCCAAAAAUGAAAAUAAAGAUGGCUUGCCCUGGUUUCCAUCACACCGUGGACGUUGCGUCACGUGGACUCGUCUCCCUGGUUGUCUGCCCACUAUUCCCUCAGCCAUCUGCUGUGGCAGCAGCUUCCGGUUGCAUGUGACCCUUUGUCUAGGAGUUGGCUUUCAGCUUCCGAAGUUCAAAAACUUGUGAAGGUUUGGUCAAGCACAAGACAGCUUUAUCACAGCAUCCCAAGAGCCUGCUUGGAAUCAUUUUUAUUCACAUAAAUAUUUUCACCAGCUUCAAACCCAUGAAGAAAAUAAACAGUGGCAUGGUGAUUAUAGAAUUAUACCUGCAUCUUUGUUUUGAGAUUCUUUUCUAACAAAAGUAUCUUUUUAUUGCUUAAUUCUUAACAAGAGACCACAUACAUUUUUAAAAAACAAAAUGAGAACUUUUAAGGCACCUGUUGUAGGUAUUCACUGUACAAAUAAAAUGUAGGUGACCGAAAAGACUUCCCUGAAAUUCUCCCAAGAAUGUGCGUCAUGAGCUGCUUGCUUUGGAAAGAGCCGCGGCACAAACUGUUGGAGCAGUUCUGGAGUCAGCAGGGCUGCAGGAAGCUGCCUUCGACAGCGACACGUCGUCGCGCCAGUGGAAUUUGGAAACUGGCAGAAAGACGUGAAGGGGAUCUGCAGCUCCCUUCUCUGGUUUCUUCCUGGCUGUUCACUUGGUUUAUUUAGCAUCAUUUUCUUUCUUUUUAAACCUCUGAGGAGCAGAGACGGGAGUGGGAGAUGUUUCUGCGAGUCAUUCUCUCUCCUUUCCGCUCCUCUGCGUCACACAUGGUUUUCCUUGAGGGUAUCUGAUGUUUUUGAUAAAGUUCCAUGGGAUUCAAAGAAAACAAAUCUAUAUUUUUAAUAAACUUGCUGAAAAGGAUUUGUUCAGCUGUGAGUCAGAGUUUAAGUAAAUGAUCCACAUUCUUGUUAGAAAAUCUGUCUGAUUCUGCCACUCUAUGUAGUUGCACAUGCAGAUUCUUUUAAACUUGCUUACAGCCAUGCAAAUCUUGUGGAGACCCUGUAUGCAAUGCUGUGUAACCUAUAGAUUCAAUAAUUCAAUGCAUGGAUUAAUCUGAGGUACCAAGUGUUCUGGCUUUUUGGAAUAAGACUUGUCAUAAUUCCCAUUUUAGGUGUUUUGUUAUGUUACCCAGAUCAGCACAGCAUGUUACAGUCAUGGGUAGUGAGUGUGUUAGACCCAGCAUUACGUGUGGGUUGGGGUGAUAGGAUCAGUGUUUAGGUCAGAUCAUACAAAGUGACUGCUGUUUGCCUGUUCUCCCCUCGUAAGUGACAAUUUUACGUAUUUGAUGUCAUAUAUAAAGUGAAACUCCAGGGCCAGCACUGUGGCACAGUAGGCAAGAGCACAGCCUGCAGCAUGGCAUCUCAUGGGUGCUGAUUGGAGUCCUGACGGCUCUGCUACUGAUCCAGCUCCCCACUAACGUGCCUGAGAAAGCAGGGGAGGAUGGCCCAAGUCCUUGGGCUCCUGCACCCAUGUGGGAGACCAGGAAGAAGCUUCUGGCUUCUGGCUUUGGCCUGGCCCAUCCCUGGCUGUUGGGGCCAUUUGGGGAGUGAAGUAGUAGAUGGAGGAUCUCUUUCUCUCUGUUCCCCACCCCCAACUCUUUCAGAUAAAUAAAUCUUUUAAAAAAUGAAGUAAAACUCCCAUUUGAGUUCAUGUGAACCCAUUGCAAAGUUGAUAUAUCAGUUGAUCUCUUCAGUAGAUUUGCUAAAGGGGGAUUUGGUGGGGUAGUAUCAGGACAGUUGGGAGAAAUGUGAGUCUAUUUGGUAAGGUAAGGCUGAUUCUAAAUAAGCCACGUGAACCAUAACAAUGAAGAAUGGUCCCCUUGGAAGGGUCAGUCUCACGAUCUCUCUCUCACUCUGUUAACUUUCCACAUGACUGUUUGCAAUGAACAAAAACCUACGCUUGGUCACCUAAGUGCUCAAUCUUGUGUCCAUCUUGGAAUACACAGAAUUACAGCAGUAGCAGCACUUCGAGAGUGUUCUGGAUCCUGCCAUGGUGUUGCUGUGGCCAGGCAUGCAGCUGUGGGGUGAGAUGGCACUGGGCUAUGACCACUAUGGGGCAGUCAUUUUAGGAGGGCUGGUACAAGGUAGAGAAUAGAGUAUGUUUUCACUGGCUCUUAGGUCACAGCACAUCUCCAGGAGAGCUCAAAGCCUGCUCAGCUCAACAGUGGAUAGGCGAUUUGUUAGUCUGCCAUCCUCUUGCUCAUGGGGUAAGUCCUGGGGGACAAACCUGAGUUCCUGAAAUGCAAGGAGGAGGUGAGAGGGUGACAAUUUGAGUAGAGGGCUCAGCAAGAGUAUAGACCCAGCAGCUCUGGGGAAGAAGCAUCUGACUUGCCUUCAUUACAUGGGUUCUUUCCACCCAUGUUUUUCCUUUUACCUCCUGUCCUUAAUUUUCAUGGAUGGACCUGGAGGACAUUAAGUGAAGUGAAAUAAGCCAGGUACAGAAAGACCAGCAUCACACAUUCUCACUCAUAUGUGGUAUCUGAAGAAGUUACACUCUCGGAAUUGAGAGUAGAAUGGAGAUCACAAAAAGCUGGGGAGAGUAGUGGUUGAGGAAUGGGAAAAGGGUUAGCAAUGGGUACUAAGUCACAUGCAGAUAGGAGAAAGGAGUUCUGGGGGUGUAGUGCACAGUAGCGUGAUUAUAGAUCAUGAUAAUGCACUGUGUAUUCUAAGGAAAAACUAGAAGAGUGUAUUUUAAAUAUUUCCAUCACAAAGAAAUGGUAAAUGAGGCUACAACCACGUUUAUCCUGAUUUGAACAUUACACAAUGCAUACAUAGGUAGAACCAUCACAUUCCUACUCUAUAAAUAUGUAUAAUUUAAUAUGACCAUUAGAGUCAAUAAAGUGAAAAAACACUUAUCUUUUCAAAAUAAUUUUAUUUACUUAGAAAUAGUUACACAGAGAGAGGAGAAACAGAUCUUCCAUCCAUUGGUUCACUCCCCAGGUGCAUGCAACAGCCUGAAGCUAAGAGCCAGGUGUUUCAUCCGGGUCUCCCACGUGGGUGGCAGAGGCCCAAGCCCUUGUGCCAUCUUCUGCUGCCUUUCCCAGGCCAUUAGCAGGGGGCUGGCUCAGGAGAGGAGCAGGCAUUACAUAAACAAGCACCAUAUGGGAUGCUGACAUUGCAAGCAGCAGCUUUACCCACUGCACCACAAUUCUGGCCCCUCAUCAUCUUUCUGUAAAUGAAAAUAGACUGGAAACAAUUUUAUACAUAUCUGAGUUAAGAAUUUAUCUGGAUAAUCAGAUAAUUUGAAACACUAAUUUUGUCAUCAAGAGAAUAGUUAACAGUUAUCUUGAAGACAUUGGUUUUUAUCACAUAUAAAUCUUAGAGUUGGAAUCAGAAAGAUCUAAGUGUGAUUUUUAACUCUGCCAUUUGCACAAUUAGAAAAUGGAAGGGUUAGUCACUUCUCUAAAUCUUUAUUUUUGUCACCUACAAAAUGAAAAUAAAUUAUUAUCUAAUCAGUGCCAUUGAACUCUUGUACAUUGGUCAUGGAAGUGUAAAAGAAUUUAUCCCUUUUUGAAACAGUUUGUAUUCCCAGUUAAGCAUGACCACAUGACCCAGUUCUUAUCAAUCAAACAGCAGUAAAACAUGUCCACACAAAGUCCUGCAUGUUAAUUUCCACAGGAAUAUCACAACAAACAAAAUGUUGAAUAUUACGACAAGCAAAAUGUAGAAAAGUCCAUCAACUGGUGAAAUGGAUAAAUGAAGUGUAGUUGACCCAUGUGUUGGAAUAAUUUUCCAUAAUAAAAGAGAGCCAGGUUACUCAUGCAUGCCAUAACAUGCAUGGACGUCACAAAACUUAUACCAAGUGAGAAGAGCCAGACACACAGGCCGCACAUCAGAAACGGCAGGUGCCAUUAGCAUUGGAAGAACACUUCCAUCAGGCACCUGCUCACUGCACAGUGUCAUGCACAGUGGAAACAGAAUGCCCUCACCAACAUACUGCAUGGCCUGGCUAAGGAAGCCCAGGAGAUGUGCUGGCACAAACAAAAGCCCAGCGCCCGUGUUUCUGACUUAGAUCUAAUUGGGAAUUCUCUGAGGGAUACAACUUUCUAGUCAUCCUCCUGAGAGCCUUCGUAUUAAUCAAAUAUUUCCUAUUAUUGAGAACCAUUUCCUGACAUUCAGUCUAAAAUGUUGUCUUUCUUGUGGCAUUAUAUAGUAUAAUUUAAUCACCCUCUUAGCAGAUCAGAAAUGAUAUUCAUCUUGUUACCCGUUUUCCUGUUCUUGCACCGUGCGUAUGUGGAUCUAAAGCAACUGGGGAAUGAUUUCCUUCCGCUGUGCAGUGUGCAUUCACCAGACAAUAGACAGCAGUGGAGUGCUAGCACGUGGCACUGCCCCUCUGGUCUAUGAAGCCUGAUCUCCGUCGAUGUCUGUCAGUGAGAGGGAGUGUCAGCCGAGGAAGGCCGAGUCCCACCUCUUCCCUUCUGCAGCACACGUCCUCCACCUCAGCCGGCAAACUGUUGGUUAUCUGCUUCUCUCUGGGCCUCCCCUGCUGGUGAACUGCCAUAGGGGAGGAAGGGAGCAAGAGACAAAGAAGAGUUAAGAUCCUGAAAUGAAUGGUGACACCUACGUUUCCUAUCAAUUGCGCGCAAUGCUAAUCUAAAGCUUGCUACCAUGGGAGUGAAAUGUUAGACUCAGAAAAAACGAUUGGCUACAAGUCCUCCUAUUAUGCUGAAUGUGAAAGAAAAAAAUUGCCCUGGCUGUUAAGUCACAUGGGCUGCUUCUGUGGCAGUUGCCUGCAGCAAUUAUUUUCAAAAGGGUGCUUGAUAAAAAUAGAUGAUGGAAAAUCAAUACUUUAGGCCAAAACAAGUCGCUCUUCAUUAAGGCAGCACAGUCCGGAUGAGCAGGGGGAGAACAGGCCUUGCCCCCAAGCACCUGCAGGCGGCUUCCCCGGGCUUUCCUGCUCCCUGGAGUCCCCAAGCCUCUGUGGCCUUCAGCACCCUCGACACUUGAGGGUUGUCCUCACUUUGUGCACUGCUGGACAAUAACUUGAUAAAAUGAUAAAAAGUCACAUGGAGAAAUCUUUAAAAGCCCAGGUAUCCCCGUAAGGCCAGACUUCACUGCCAUUUUAUCCUUCCUCGCCCCCUCCUUACUUUUCUGCAUUUAAAUAUGCUCCUCCUUCUCACAAUAUGAAUCAAUAAGGUACAAAAACUUUUAAAUCUUAAAAUACCGAUAGCAGUGUUUAGUGGGGAUACCUUAAUUCUACACGUAGUUGUGAAUUUCAAGGUCUGGCUUCAUGUAAUGAAAAAUCAGAUUGAAUUCAUUUUUUUUUUUAAUUGCACAAAUAGCUGCUGUCUUUGUCUUAAUUCCUUCCGCUUUUUCAACAAACACAGAGAAGAUGAAUGUCUCAGUGCCAGGUGUGUGAUAACUCUUGGGUGGGCGGAGCUCCAUUCCUGAGACAGGAAAUGGUGAACAGGGGUCAUGGUUCACUGGAGGAAUUCAUAGCUAUGGAAAAUGAAACACAGCAGACACCUUGGAUGAUGACAACAGAAGAGCCGUAUGGUCCAGGAGGGGAAGAGUUCUGUUGGAGGCUUAGCAGGAAAACCCAGGACAGUUUUUCAUUUCCCUUUGUAAUUAACACGAAAGGCAUUGACAAAGCAUUGGAACGCUCAGCGUCUGCAGUCUUCUACCCGCCCACCUCCCACUGCCUUUUUCAGGCACAUCCAACAGCAAGGACAAUUCAUUUUAAAUUGACUUUCCCCUGGGCAUCAUUUUACUCAUUGGUAACAAUGUGUCCUGCACCAGGAGCUCUUUAGCUUCAGACCAUUACAAUCCAAGAAUCAUCUCCACCAGAGGCAGAAAUCCGAUGCUCUAGUGGGAGGCCUUCGUUCCCUUGAGUUGUGCUCCAGGGUCGAAGUCACCGGUAUGAGGUCUUCUCCAUAUCUUUGGAGGGUGGUCCUGGAGCCAGGAGGGGUGGGAUCACAGCUAGGGAGAGACAGAGGGGCUCUUCCAGCAGACCCACCUUAGGAGAGCCACGUAGCACCAAGCUGCAAGCAGUCCUGGAGCCAUCAGGGUCUCCCUCCAGAGUGCUGGGCUACCAGGAGACAGGUGGGCAUUCGUGGGGGGAUUCCUACCCGUGGUUCAGAAGGAUCGCCCUUCCACAUUCUCAGACAGUUGUGCGGCACCUGCAGGAUGUCUGAAUGCAUGACUGCUGUCUCUCAAGAUCUCAUUUAUCUCUGUGGGACACUUUUCCUGUGGUUCUAGAGUCAAAGGUUCUCAGUAUAUCCCUGUCCAGCACCUGUUCAGGACAGACAUUUCUAAAUGUGUGUGUGUGUGUGUGUAUCUUUAUUUAAUUUAUUUGAAAGGCAGAAUGACUGAGAGAAAGAGAUCUUCCAUCUGCUGGUACAUCCUCAAAUGGCCACAACAGCCAAGGGUGGGCCAGGCUGAAGCCAGGAGCCUGGAACUCCAUCCUGGUCUCCCACAUGGGUAGCAGGGACCUAGACACUUGGGCCAUCUUCUACUGCUUUUCCAGGCACAUUAGCAGGGAGCUGAUUCAAAGUGGGGCAGCCAGGACUCAAGCCAGCAGUCGUAUGUGAUGCCAGAACCACAGGUGGUGGCUUAACCUGCUUUGCCACAAUGUUGGCCCCAAUUCCUUCUCUCUUUCAAAACAACUCUUAGAUCUUACAUGGGUGUUCAUGAGCUCUCUUGGUCUCAAUAAUGAUGGCAUUCUUUUAAAAGAAAACAUCAAAAACAAGCAACCAGUAAUGGCCAGUACUGUUUCUUGUAAAGGCAGAUUAGAAUAAUUGUUUUUCCAAGUCCGAACAACUUUGUAUGGUUACCCCUUGUUUUUUUCCCAGUCUCUUCUGGACAUUCUACCCAAUGCCCAUCCAUCACCCUUCCCAUUCCAUUUCUCCAUCUCACCCUUCAUGUGGUGGGUGGAUCCAUCUCCAGCCAUGAAAACACAAAAUUGCUUCAAAAUCUCCAAAAAUGUUAAGGAUGAGUCCAGCAUGAUGACCUUGGAAAGCUUAAAUCAGAAUAAUUUUUUGUGAAAUUUGACAUUUGUCCAGUAAAAACAAUCUUAGCUCUUUCACCGGUGAAAACAAUGGAUUCACGGUAAAUCAAAACACUGCUUGUUCCAAGGAUGCUGUGUGCUUAGUGAAGGUUGGACUGCCAUCCUCGCAAGUGUAAUUGCCUUCACGACAUUCUGUCUGGUAUUGGGUUUCCUGCUUGUCUUAUUAAGGCGGUAAAGUACACCGUGUGUUCUCCUCACAGGACAUAUCUCAUUUCAUUGUAAUUGUCAAGAUUUGGGAAAAGGUCAAUUAAGCUUAUAGAAGCGCCUACUGCAAAUAAGAAACUUCAAGAUGGUCUUUUCUGAAAGAUAACAUAAAUCAUAAUACACAGCAAAAUUAUAAAAUAUUAUAGGCUAUUUAGUAGUCUUUCUUGAGGAAUUUGCAUUUUGUUAAUAAUAUUAAUAUACUCCUGAUAUUUUAUUAGUGUUUUACAGAUUAAAAAUUAUGUGUAUGUGUGUAUAUAUAUACACACACACACAUAUAUGUGUGUUUAUGACCUUAAUAAUUCUCAAAGCAGUACUGUGAGGGAAGUAAUGUUAAUUUUCCCUUUUCUAUUAUAGGUAACACAAUUGUAGUUCAAAUAAUUGUCCGUAAUUGGCUCACAAAGCUAUAGCCAGUGCAGUACAAGGUUUCCUAAGACUGGACAGUUGAAGGACUUGUAAAUAGAGAUACAAGAGGGACAUAUGGGGUCCUGACAUGUUCUCUGGAGCGUGAACCCUCCUCCUUCUUUCUAGUGUGGCACAGAAUCAGAUCACGCCCUGCCCAUCAUGAGCUAAUAAGCAGCACAAAAUGACGACUGUGUGUUCCAGGGACAGUCCACAGAGACCAUUCACACCAUGUUAUCAUUUCACAGCACACAACAUCAAGGAGAGCCACAAGGUACAUGCUAAUUCUAGCUUCAUGGUAAGAGGAAACAAAGAAAAAUCUCAAACCUUACACCUGCUGUCCCGUUGUUCUGUUGCUAAAAGUUUUAACAGAUGCAGGAUUUGAGGGCAUUCUGUGCUGAGAUUAGUCUUCACAUCUUUUAGCAACAGUAUUGUUCUUCUGCUAAUGAAACUUUUGUUAUAGGGAAAGAUCUGGUUGGUUCUGAGAUUGUCCAGUCAAGGCACAUCGAUCAAUCUGAAAAGCAAAUGGUUGGUGCUUACUGGGUCUCAGUUCCAAUCCAAAGUAGGCCUAAUCUUUGAAUUUAAGCUUUUUGAGGACAAAGGGUUUUUGUUUGUUUGUUUUUGUUCAUUGCUAUUUCUUUAUUGCCUUGCACAUUAUAGGGGCUGAAUCUGUGAUAUUUUAAUGGAAUGGACACAUGCACAGACACACACACACACCCCUAUGCUUUUUCAAAUCUGACCAUCUCAAUCUCAAAGAACAUAGCAUGGUAGAUACUGGUUAUGCCCCUAGUAUGCAUGAUCCUCAUUUCUCCCUGGUAUAAGAUCUUUUAUUUUUAUUUUGGUGCAUGGCCAUUUAGAAGGACUGGGUUUCCCAGUCUCUCUUGCAGCUGGUCCUGGCCAUGUGGCUAGGACAUGACCAGAGGGUGGAAGAGAAAGGCUCCUGUCCAGUUCAGACUGCUGAUACAUUCCCUCAUCCAUCUGGCUGGAAUGUGUGUGAGCAGAUUGGAUCCCCAGAGGUAUAGAAGUGGACAUCACAGGUUGAGGAUGAUGGAGUCAAUCCAGGAAUGGGACGAGGGCCCCAGCAGCCACAGGGCACGACACCUGACUGCUUCCCUCCAGCCUUCUUUAAAACUCAAAAUAAAUGAACUCUGAUCUUAAAAACGCACUGUUAUUUUGGGGUUUUGGCCACUUACAGUAAAAAAUAUCCUCGUAGACACAAAUGCAUUAACACACACAUGAGUGAUAGAUACAUACUUUUUAAAGGUAUCUGGCAUAUAAGCCAGCAUGAUGCUUUAUGGUACUGAUGUAUUCUUAGUUUUGUGUCACUGAGAGUGGGUUGUAUGGUGUGGUGUUCCUGCUUGUAAUCAAUGUUGAUUCACCCUGAGAAACUACUCCCAACUCCAUAUGUGGCAGAGACUUUUAGAACACAAACUUCUUGUUUCUCCUUGUCUACUGUCUAUGCGCAAUACCUGACAGCUUCCAAGGAGAGGACUGCCCAGGGUACGCAGGAAGAAUCAUGACUUACUGGCACCUGCUCAGUCUUGUUUCUGCAUCAGAGCUUCACUGUGGUUCAAAGCAAAUUCUCAGAAAACCAGUCCUGUGCCUUAUCAAAUGCAUGACAAAAGAUCAGGCCAAAGACACAAAGCAGUGAUUUUUUUUCCCACUUUUCACCUAUUGUAAUUUCCAAGUGAACUGAUUCCUACCCCUACAUUCCUGUUUCUUAGCCUUUUCCUUAAGAUUGCUUUCUCAAUCUACUUUGUGUUCAUUUUCACAGCUAAUAUGAUGGUACUUCAAGAAUCUCAUGGAAAAUUGAAUUAAAUGAAAAGUUUAUUUUAUUGCAAAAACUUUUGGAAGCCAUGUGUAGUUUUUUCAUAUUAGGUGUUUUGCAUGAACUUCUUGAAGACUCCUUGUAUGCAUGCAUUUCAAUUUUUUGUGCCCAAGCUUAUCUUUUAAAUAAACUUUCUGCAAAAAUUUUGAAGUAUGCUUGCAUUUUAUUAAAAUUCAUUUCAGUCAAUUUUUAUAAGAAAA